CCGGGAGACGUGAGAGGUAUUCGUAGGGUAGCGGUAAAAUGCUAUAAUCCUACGAGGACCACCUGUGGCGAAGGCGUCUCGCGAGAACGGCUCCGACGGUGAGGGAUGAAGGCCAGGGGAGCGAAUGGGAUUAGAUACCCCAGUAGUCCUGGCAGUAAACCAUGCGAGCUAGGUGUCGCGUAUCCUCCGAGGUUACCCGGUGUCGUAGAGAAGUCGUUAAGCUCGCCGCCUGGGAAGUACGGUCGCAAGGCUGAAACUUAAAGGAAUUGGCGGGGGAGCACUACAAGGGGUGCGGCGUGCGGUUUAAUUGGAUUCAACGCCGAAAAUCUCACCAGGGGAGACGGCAGAAUGAAGGUCAGUCUAAAGGGCUUACCUGACGAGCCGAGAGGUGGUGCAUGGCCGUCGUCAGCUCGUGCCGUGAGGUGUCCUGUUAAGUCAGGCAACGAGCGAGACCUGCGCCCCCACUUGCCAGUGAGCAGCUUUGGGUGAUCGGCCACUGUGUAGGGACUGCCUGGGAAACCAGGAGGAAGGUGCAGGCAACGGUAGGUCAGUAUGCCCCGAAUCCACCGGGCUACACGCGCGCAACAAUGGACGAGACAAUGGGCUGCAACCCCGAAAGGUGAAGGGAAUCCUCUAAACUCGUCCCCAGUACGGAUGAGGCUGCAACUCACCCUCAUGAAGCCGGAUCC
rnacentral:rRNA from 1 species